GCUGUAGCUCAGUGGCAGAGCUUCUGUUUUGUGCAUAGAAGGUCACAGGUUCAACCCCCAGCGUAUCUA